AACUCACACGACCUCCAAAGGCAAGUCAUGUGAAUAAUCUACCCUAAGAGUUAGAAUAAUGAAAGUGAGGACUGGACUUGGAAGUCUGUUGGCGUUCGCUGGUGACUCCUUCUUCAUGAACCUUGGACAUAAGGCGGAGAGUAAACGGGUUUUUCUGUACAUCAAACGAGGCCAGACAGGAAAAGCUCUUAAAUUCGUCUUCGGCUGAUGGAGAGAACAAAACAGAUUACAGAUUGUUUUAAAACAACCAAGAGUGUUCAGUUUCAGAUAGAAACGUUGGUGCGCACUGCAGUACGGAAGUAGUAGGUUACAAUAGUUGUGCUGUGUGCAUAACUGACUUUCGUAUACCUUCCAGUACACCGCUUCAUGAAAUACAGUGCCGGUACUAUCCUAAUGAAAAUCGAGGCAAUCGCUGAUGGUUAUGACACUCCCUCUCCUGAAGGCACCUUUCUUAGUGAGAUAACAACGAUGUUAAAUGCCCAAGUGUACCCACUGUCAUCUACUGAUGCAAAUGGUCAAUCCGAAGAGGACUCCACUUUCAAACAGGCCGCUUACCUUCCACAAACGAUGCCCCCUACACAAGCUGUGGCCCUAACACCAGUGAGCGCGACGCAGCCAGCCUCAGAUCAACAAGACGUGCAAGCAGCAGUCAGUAAUGAGCAAACUACCCUGGUUGUAGUUGCUUUCGUACACGCUAUUUUGACAUUGCCUUAUGCUCUCUAUACACUUAGCUACAUCAUGAACGAGGACAGGGUUGUCCUUGAUCCACUCGCAAGGGUUGUGUUAGGAAUUUUGUUACAGUGGAUGGUGCAUCUCCGCUCCAUCUUGACACCUAUAGUCUGGCUGCUCGCCGAUAGGCCUCCGAUGGAAGGGAGCGUAAAGACAGAGUAUUUAGACACAUCGCCAGUGUAAGUACAAGCCAACGUAUUCCGUGCGCAUAUACUUUUUACACAAUAUCCAAAACGGUACACCUGGACGUUAUUCUGGUUCACCAUGGACCGCCCCAUUUGACUCUGUUUCGAACAAGAUGAAUGUCUCGGAGGGAAAGGCUGUGCGCGCACUUGAUUGUAGCGAGACUUGUGUUUUACCCUUCUUUUGCACUUCCGUGGUGAACACCAGCACAGAGAAGUUUUAAAAGUUUAGAGAGAGAAAAGAGCCGCGGCCAUGACAGUACAUGGUCUAGAAAACCCUAUCCAUUCCCCACUGCUAAGCUGUUCCCUCGUGUACGCUAGUCCACGUAACACAGUGGUUUCUCCGAACACCGCCUUUACGUGAAUCGUUUGCUGGGCAAACAAGUUGAAGGCGAAGGACGCUACCCACCAAAUAAAGGCACAUUUCUCUGAAGCAGACAACCCCCCCCCC
rnacentral:misc_RNA from 1 species